CUAAUGGGACAUUUUAACAUUUUUUCUUAAUGUUGACUGUGCUUGUGUUUUCCUCAUUGUUUUUGUCUCCACAUUAGACAUUGGAGAGGAUGUCCUUUGAACUUAAGUGAGCUAAAGAAGCAAAAUCGGCAAACUGAGGAUGGCUGGUGUCAAGGACGGCACUCGAGUCGUCUUUUUUCAUAUAAAGAAUUCUUUUUAAAGGUCUGCCUUCUUUCUGCUGGUACCAGUGGAUGUAGUCGUACUGUGUCAACCCUGAAGCUCUGCAGGGAAUGGAGGCCAACGAACCCUGGCUGAUUGUUACAGAUGUUUCCUGAAUCAGUGUUUGGGACACGGCCUCUGAAAUAAAAACACAUGGAUGUAGUAAAAUUAUUUUCCU
rnacentral:lncRNA from 1 species